AGAUGAACUUUAAGCGUCAUGCCUUUUUUUUUUGAACUUUAUAGUAGUGCAUAUUUCAUAUUGAACUAAACAAAUCUCAAAAAAUUUACAUGAAUUCUCAAAAUCGUAUUUAUAUAUAUAUUGACACUCGUCAAAGGUGUUAGUCAACCAUUAGUUUAUCAAAACGACUUCAUUUUUGAUAAAUACUAAAUAAACUCUCGAAAUCGUGCUUUUAUUUAUAUUGACCGUCAAAAUUUUAAAAUAAAGUUAAAUUUUUAAUUUUUGAUUAAUUUAUAUUACUAAUUUAAUAAUAUUAUUUAAAAUUGAAAUUUAUUUUUUGAAAUUUAAUUUAAUUUUAAAUGUAACUUUAUGUAUAUAUAUAUAUAUACAACAAAAAAUUCUAAAUUUUCAUUAUAUUUCAAGUUUUGGUAAUACUAUAAAGUAAAAAUUUGAAUUACUAAUAAUUAAUUUAAAUUUAUAAAAUAAUCAUUUUUAAAGUUAAAUUUAAAACUCAAUGCCGUGGAAAAGAAUCCCAAUGUUGCCAUAACACUCCUUGUCAGAAUCUAGUGUAAUUCAUUUAUGAAGCUAUCCUUCUUAUCAAUGAUGCUAUCCUUUUUGAUAGGAUUUGGUAAAAAGAAGCGGAUGAGAAUGCACUGUUACGGUAGUAUCUUGUGACAUGCGCCAUGUUCCUGUGAGAGAGGUGAUAUUUUGGUCAGUAAAUAUAGAUUCUAGGGGGCUUGUUUUAAGUUCUAUAAUCUUUCGAAUCAUUUUUAUUUGAUACCGAUCUUUCUCUCUAAUUGCUGGGUUCCUUUGUAUAUAAUCAUAUCUCUCUUGAGUGCCUUGACAGAGCCCAGAGGUUUUUUAAGCCAUACAGGAUUUGAUACCAUCCUCGUACGUUUUUUGGUAUACAAGUUUCAUACAGCCAAUUACAACUUCAUAGGUGAAGUGUCAAAACGAUCUUUCCUACGCUUAUUUUGUUAAUCUGUACCAGGUGUUAAAAUUUAAGCAUCCAAAAUUUUCGAGAAAAUCCAACAACAAAUGUCACAAGCAGUGUUGUACCAAGUGAGAUGGGUUCUGCUUUGGUUCAUGGAUUUACUGCCUAUUUUGAAGCUAUACUCUAUGAUAAACUGAGUAUUAGCACUGUGCCUAGAAAAGCAACAUAAAACAUGUUCGGCUGGUUGCCAAUAUGUAUUUUCCAUUGAGGAAGCCUGUUGAAGUUUACUCUCUAACGAUCGAGUAGAAGCAAUGAUCUGGAGAUGUAGCGAUUCCAAAAAGGUUUGGUAAAAAAUUGUAUCAACUGGAUGAGCCUUUAGGAUACGAUACUGUCCUAGAGCACAAUGGACGGAAAUUUGUUAGUAGAAUCAAAAAACAAAAGGGUUAUAAAGAGAAGUGGUUGUACAUAGAAUAAUAAUACAAACCCUUUAACAAAAAAAAAAACAUAGAAUAAAAAUACAAUGUAAGCGAAAAUGGUAUGGUAUGGUAUGGUAUGGUAUGAUUGAUUGUUGAGAACGUGUUGUGUUGUGUUGUUUAGAAGAGAAAACGCGUGGCAGUAAUGAUGAAUAGACGUAGGAAGGAAGUGGACGGAUACAACUUAACACGUAUUGAAUCAUAUUAUUAUCAACAUAGAAAGUGGUGGUUGUAAUUCACACCUAACUGGGUAAACCGUUUGGUUCACCCUCUAAAUGCGUAAAAUUGAAGGACAUAAAAUUAAUGAGAAAGUUGGGAAAAUUAAUGGAUGUUUUUAGUUCUAAAAAAAAAUCUUCCAAUACAGAGUAAUAAUAUCUGAUUUUAAACAUGGUAAUAUUUGAUUUUUUUUUUAAAUAACUAUUUGAAGAUUUUUUUGUACAUGAAUUGUUUGAAUAUAGCAAAGUUUAUUUUGUAUUUAGGCGUGUAUUAUAAAGUUGUAAAAAAAAUUAUUCGAAUUUUAAUAUAGAUGUUUUCAAAGAUUCAUUCAGAUUUUAAAAUUUUGUAUCUAAAAUAUUGUCAUUUUGAUAAUUUUAAUACACUAAAAUUAUUUAACUAUAUAAAAAAAAGGGCAAAUCUCCAAAAUAGCACAUUUCUAAGU